GUUGGUGCUCAUGACUUUUUGGAAACACCUAAUACAUUCCGAACUUAGUAGUGAAACAUAAAGUGAGAGAUUUAUACUUGGAAAGUGAUUUCCUGGAAAAAUUUACUUAGUGCCAAUA
rnacentral:rRNA from 1 species